rnacentral:rRNA from 1 species
CUUUUAUUGAGACAAUGGUUCCCUUCCCCGGGGUUCGGCCCCCGUAGCUUCUCACCUGUGCUUUCUAACAUUUCUGCAUGACGGGAACCGGGCGUACUGGCCUUCGUGAGUUUGCCUUCACAUGACCCCCAUACACCCUGCGUCGCAAUGCUGCCCCUCUAUGUGAAGAAGAACGGCCCUAAUAUCAAUUCAUAAUAACUAUUGGCAAUGGAUCUCUAGGCUCUCACCUUGGAGACUUCUUGGUGCUUUGGGCUGCCAAUGUGAAUCGCAAAAAUCACGGAACCAUCAGGUCUUUGACCGAACCCUGCACCCUAUGAUAUUCAAAAGGAUGCGCCGGCUUGAGGGUCAGGUAUGAAACUCGGUAAUUAACUUUUUUAUUAAUGAUAUUUGAUGCAUGGUGACUGCUGUUUCUGUUGUUACUGCUCGCUUUUUCUUGUCCCAAGCUCUUAUAACUUGAAUGGACUGACCUCCUCGGAUAUACUGUGCUUUCAUAUAGGAAUGCUUAGAUCAAAUGAGAGCCCCGCAUUUUCUGAUUAUAACGCUUCUCUGAGGACUUCUUCGACAUGUUUUGAAAACUUGAUGAAUCAAAUACCAAUUGUAAGACCUCAUAUCAGGUGGAAUUACCCGCUGAACUUAAGCAUAUCAAUAAGCGGAGGAAA